rnacentral:rRNA from 2 species
AACUAACAAGGAUUCCCCUAGUAACUGCGAGUGAAGCGGGAAAAGCUCAAAUUUAAAAUCUGGCAGUCUUUGGCUGUCCGAGUUGUAAUCUAGAGAAGUAUUAUCCGCGCUGGACCGUGUACAAGUCCCCUGGAAUGGGGCGUCAUAGAGGGUGAGAAUCCCGUCUUUGACACGGACUGCCAGGGCUUUGUGAUGUGCUCUCAAAGAGUCGAGUUGUUUGGGAAUGCAGCUCAAAAUGGGUGGUAAAUUCCAUCUAAAGCUAAAUAUUGGCGAGAGACCGAUAGCGAACAAGUACCGUGAGGGAAAGAUGAAAAGAACUUUGGAAAGAGAGUUAAACAGUACGUGAAAUUGCUGAAAGGGAAACGCUUGAAGUCAGUCGCGUUGGCCAGGGAUCAACCUUGCUUUUUUGCUUGGCUUACUUUCUGGUCGAUGGGUCAGCAUCAAUUUUGACUGGUGGAAAAAGUUCAAGGGAAUGUGGCAUCUUCGGAUGUGUUAUAGCCUUUGUUCACAUACAUCAGUUGGGAUUGAGGAACUCAGCACGCCGCAAGGCCGGGUUUUUAACCACGUACGUGCUUAGGAUGCUGGCAUAAUGGCUUUAAUCGACCCGUCUUGAAACACGGACCAAGGAGUCUAACAUGCCUGCGAGUGUUUGGGUGAAAAACCCGAGCGCGUAAUGAAAGUGAAAGUUGAGAUCCCUGUCGUGGGGAGCAUUGACGCCCGGAUCUGACCUUUUGUGACGAUUCUGCGGUAGAGCAUGUAUGUUGGGACCCGAAAGAUGGUGAACUAUGCCUGAAUAGGGUGAAGCCAGAGGAAACUCUGGUGGAGGCUCGUAGCGAUUCUGACGUGCAAAUCGAUCGUCAAAUUUGGGUAUAGGGGCGAAAGACUAAUCGAA